rnacentral:rRNA from 1 species
GACAGAGGUGGCAAGCGUUGUUCGGAGUUACUGGGCGUAAAGAGCACGUAGGCGGUUGGGUUAGUCCCAUGUAAAAUCUCCCUGCUUAACAGGGAAACGUCGUGGGUGACUGCCCGACUAGAGGACGGGAGAGGAGAGCGGAAUUCCCGGUGGAGCGGUGAAAUGCGUAGAUAUCGGGAGGAAGGCCGGUGGCGAAGGCGGCUCUCUGGAACGUCCCUGACGCUGAGGUGCGAAAGCGUGGGGAGCAAACAGG